GCCUAAAGCGUCCGUAGCCGGCUCUGUAAGUUUUCGGUUAAAUCUGUAUGCUCAACAUACAGGCUGCCGGGAAUACUGCAGAGCUAGGGAGUGGGAGAGGUAGACGGUACUCGGGAGGAAGUGGUAAAAUGCUUUGAUCUCUCGAUGACCACCUGUGGCGAAGGCGGUCUACCAGAACACGUCCGACGGUGAGGGAUGAAAGUUGGGGGAGCAAACCGGAUUAGAUACCCGGGUAGUCCCAACCGUAAACUAUGCAAACUCAGUGAUGCAUUGGCUUGUGGCCAAUGCAGUGUUGCAGGGAAGCCGUUAAGUUUGCCGCCUGGGAAGUACGUACGCAAGUAUGAAACUUAAAGGAAUUGGCGGGGGAGCACCACAAGGGGUGAAGCCUGCGGUUCAAUUGGAGUCAACGCCAGAAAUCUUACCCGGAGAGACAGCAGAAUGAAGGUCAAGCUGAAGACUUUACCAGACAAGCUGAGAGGUGGUGCAUGGCCGUCGCCAGCUCGUGCCGUGAGAUGUCCUGUUAAGUCAGGUAACGAGCGAGAUCCCUGCCUCUAGUUGCCACCAUUACUCUCAGGAGUAGUGGGGCGAAUUAGCGGGACCGCCGCAGUUAAUGCGGAGGAAGGAAGGGGCCACGGCAGGUCAGUAUGCCCCGAA
rnacentral:rRNA from 1 species